GCCGUUACAAGUUCCCUCUCCUUAUCUCCUUUUCUUCCCUCGCUAUUAUCAAUCAAGAAGAGAGAGGACCACGUUGUAAAGAAGAAUGAUGGUCUCCGCGCUUCAGUAGAAGCUCCCAUCGAAGCCCCUCGCUAAUGGCUACUCUGAAGGGCUCCCACGUUCCUCCUCUCCGCUCCUUUCCCUUUCAUCCCUUCUCCUUGCCUACUUCUUCGAGACCCUCCGUUCGUAUCAAGAAACCCGUCUCUACGUGGGACGCGAGGGCUUUCUGCUUCGAAAUACCCAAGAAAGUUCGGGUUUUGAGGCCCCGCGGAAGAGCAAGCGGCGGCGGCGGCGGCCAAGCGGUCCUUCGUUCCGGCUCGGAGGAGGCGCAGCGGCCUCCUUUUGAUAUCAACCUUGCUGUCGUGCUCGCUGGGUUCGCCUUCGACUCCUAUACCAGCCCACCCAAAGAUGUUGGGUGGCGAGAAAUUGAUGCCGCUGAUUGUCAGACUGUGUUUUUGUCCAAGCAGUUCCUUCGUGAGGUAUAUGAUGGGCAGCUUUAUAUAAAGUUAAAGAAAGGUGAAGACUUUCCGGCAAUGGAUCCGUGGGGAACAAGUGAUCCAUAUGUUAUCUUGCAGAUAGAUGGUCAGGUCACAAAAAGCAAGGUCAAAUGGGGGACAAGGGAGCCAAUAUGGAAUGAGGAUUUCACUUUAAAUAUCAAGACAACUCCAGCAAAAACCUUACAGGUUGUGGCUUGGGAUGCAAACCUUGUCACUCCACACAAACGAAUGGGAAAUGCAGCAGUUAACCUAGAAUCACUAUGUGAUGGAAACUUGCAUGAGAUGGUGGUGGAAUUGGAGGGGAUUGGAGGUGGUGGAAAGAUAUACUUAGAGAUUAAAUAUAGGAGCUACGAUGAAAUUGAAGAAGACAAACAAUGGUGGAGAGUACCUUUUAUCUCGGAUUUUCUUACAAAAAGCAGUUUAGAGUCUGCUAUAAAAAUGGUCCUUGGAUCUGAGAGUGUAAAUGUUAGUCAGUUUGUACAAUUGGCGUUCGGACAGCUAAAACCAUUCAAUUAUGCUUAUCUUUGGAAACCUUCAUCAUCUGAUGGUGAUAAUGAUGGAUCUAAAUGUGCUGAAAGAUCUUUAGAUGCAGUUGCUGAUUCAAAGCAAGUUGUAUGGCAGUCAAGCAGUUCGGAAAGCUCAGGACAUAAUGCGAGUCCUGAGAAAGAGAAUAAUUUACCUGUUUCUCAUAAUGAUGCUAAUGUGACUAGUUCUUCGUUGAGAAGAAAAGCUGUUGAAACAGCAGCACCAGCUGAGUAUUUCUGGAAGGCUUUUGCUGACAUCAUCAACCAAACUGUUUGGCAGAAGCUUGGUUUUUCCAUUCCAGAGAUCAGAAUGUGGGAUGGAUUCGACUUGCUACAUAGGGGGAGCUUACAAUUGCGCAAAACUGCAGAAGAAGAAUAUGUUGAAUCCGGACUUGCAAGUCCUGAAACAGAGGAUGAGAAUGACAGAAAGAGGGAUCCCCCAUCUACUACAAAUGGAACUCCACUUUUGGACAUUAAGAAAGUAUCCUGGAAUGUUCUAAGUCAAACAGAGGCAAUAUUCAGGGCAAUGAUGGUUCUUACUGCAACCCUUCCGCAGGAGAAAAGGAAUUCAUCUUCAGGGGUUGAAGAAGAGGAUAAAGAAUAUUCCAUGAAUAAAGUAGGAGGUAUUGCUGUAGAUGGAUUUCCAGUAGAUACACAGAAAGCGGAGGAAAUGAGGGAACUGUUUUCCAGUGCAGAAAGUGCUAUGGAGGCUUGGGCUAUGCUUGCUACUUCAUUUGGCCGUAAAAGUUUUAUCAAAUCUGACUUUGAAAAGAUAUGUUUUCUUGAUAACUUUUCUACAGAUACGCAGGUAGCCAUUUGGCGUGACUCCUUGCGAAGAAGAUUGGUUAUUGCCUUCAGAGGUACUGAACAAGCAAAGUGGAAGGACUUGCGAACUGAUUUAAUGCUUGUUCCCGCUGGGCUAAACCCGGAGAGACUAGGGGGCGACUUUAAACAAGAAGUCCAGGUUCAUAGUGGAUUCCUAAAUGCAUAUGAUUCUGUUAGGAACAGAAUCAUCACGCUUAUUAAAGUUUCAAUAGGUUCCUCCUUAGGGGAUGAUUUGGAAAGCAUGCCUAAGUGGCAUGUGUAUGUUACAGGACACAGUUUAGGUGGUGCACUAGCUACCCUGCUUGCUCUUGAACUUUCAUCUAGUCAAAUGGCCAGGCAUGGCGUGAUUUCUGUUACUAUGUAUAACUUCGGUUCUCCUAGGGUUGGGAAUAGAAGAUUUGCUGAACUCUAUAAUGAGAAAGUCAAAGAUAGCUGGAGAGUUGUAAAUCACAGAGAUAUUAUUCCAACUGUCCCCCGUCUGAUGGGGUACUGCCAUGUUGCUCAACCUGUUUAUCUUGCAGCUGGAGACUUAGAAGAGACUCUGGUAAAUAAAAUAGACGGGUAUCAAGGUGAUGCCAUUGGAGAAUUCACACCUGAUAUUCUUGUCAGUGAGUUUAUGAAAGGGGAGAAGCAGCUUGUUGAAAAAAUUCUGCAGACUGAGAUAAAUCUGCUUAGUACAAUUAGAGAUGGAACUGCCCUUAUGCAGCAUAUGGAAGACUUCUAUUACAUCACACUCUUAGAGAGUGUAAGAGCAAAUUACCAGAGGACUGACAGUUCAAGUGAGGAAGGUUGCCAAUCUACCGUGUGAGCUAACCUAUCAUUGCUGCAAGCAUCAAAAUCCUCGCAUGUGCACGUUACUGUUUGAAUGACUGUUAAAGAGCGCUGCCUGCUUACAGUUUUAGCAAAAUAGAAUGAUGACCUUUGCAUUCCGGUCCCCUGAAAACAAGAGGCAGGGGUUUUUCCAUUGCCCGUUGGCGUUGGUAAGCUUAACAUCGGUAGGCUGCAGCCUUGAAUCUGUGAAAGUGGGUGAGCUUCAGUUACUUCCAACAGCUAGGUCUACUAUUUAUCAGCUAAACAGUACCUGAUGAUGUAGUCAGAAGAGGUCCAGAAGCAUAAUUAAAAUGCCACGGAUUUAAUUGGUUAUUGUCUCAAAGCAUCAUUUUGCAGCUGUCCUGACAAAUAGUGUCCCAACAUUCUUAUGCAGCGUACCUGAUCUGUUAUAAGCACAGAAUGGUAUUUCAUCCUGGUCGUGUCUGGCUAUCACAUUUGGAGUUCUGCUCUUGUGAUCAUAAACAACCAGCCAAUAUGAUUGCUGGUUAUGUAUCUACCAAUAUGAUCUGGUUUAACCAAUCAAACUUGCCAUUGCAGGCUGCAGAAAAUAGUUCUUAGUUGGGUAAGUGGAGCUGAAGAACAAAUAAAGUAGGAGACUAAGAACUGUAAUAAGACUAAUCGGUUGGUAGAUGGAUAUAAGUAUGUGUCGCAAUCUUUCAUUCUUUUUUAUUUUAUUUUACUUCUUUUGUAUUUCAUCGCUUUAGGAGCAUUCUUUGUUAUUAUUGAUUGGAAUGUGGAAGAGGAUACAUUGUUUACAGAAUCA